AGCGAACGCUGGCGGCGUGCUUAACACAUGCAAGUCGAACGUGAAAGUAGCAAUAUGAGUAAAGUGGCGUACGGGUGAGUAACACGUGGGUAAUCUACCUUAGAGUCUGGAAUAACCGGCCGAAAGGCUGGCUAAUACUAGAUAGUUCAAGUGCACUGUAGAGGUGCGAUUGGGAAAGGGAGCUCGCAAGAGCCUUCGCUUUAAGAUGAGCCCGCGUCUGAUUAGCUAGUUGGUAGGGUAAAGGCCUACC
rnacentral:rRNA from 1 species